rnacentral:rRNA from 1 species
AGGGUUCGAUCCUGGCUCAGGAUAAACGCUGGCGGCGCACAUAAGACAUGCAAGUCGAACGGAAGUCGUUAUAAAAUGGAUUGAAGAUUUAUCAGAUUGAAGUUUUGUAACAAUGGCUUUAGUGGCGGACUGGUGAGUAACGCGUAAGGAAUCUACCUAUUAGAGGGGAAUAACAAUGAGAAAUCAUUGCUAAUACCGCAUAUGCCAUAAUUAUCGCAUGAUAAUAGUGGGAAAGGAGCAAUCCGCUAAUAGAUGAGCUUGCGUCUGAUUAGUUAGUUGGUGGGGUAAUGGCCUACCAAGACGACGAUCAGUAGCCGGACUGAGAGGUUGAACGGCCACAUUGGGACUGAGAUACGGCCCAG